AUGUUGUUUUUGAUGGAGGUGGCGGCGGGCGCAACAGCCGAUCUAUGCUCUUCUUCGCCGGCGGUGGGGGUGAUGGCAAGAACAUUGGCCGAGCUAUGCUCUUUUGCAUUGGCGGUGGAGGCGACGGCAAGCGCGGUGGCCACGGUACACUCUUCUGCGCUGGUGGUGGAGGUAGUGGCGUGGAAGGCAUUGGAUGCACUUUGCUCUUCUUCAUUGGUGGUGGCGGUGAGCACAAUUGCUGCAUUCCACUCUUUUGUGUUGGUGGUGGAGGUGGUCUCAUUGGCACUACGGAGGCCCUAG
rnacentral:rRNA from 1 species